UCAGGUGUUCCAGGGUUAAAACUGUUUUUUUCCCUUCCCUUUCAGGCUUUUGUGUAUUUCGGCAACCAUUCGGCGUGCACAAGUUUCGUCCACAAUUCCCUCAAAAAUCCUCUUAGCAUCAAGGGCAACAAGCUGUCCAUCCACCUGGUCCCGCAGCGCAUGGGCCCUAGGGAGUGUGAGGUGAGUCACUGGAAAACGCGUGAAUCCUGCAAAUCGAGUUGAAACGUGCAUUUUCACCUGUUGUUUUACUUUGUUUUCAUGAUUGUUUGGAUGAAAAAUUCAACAUAGUUCAGCCUUAGACAUGGCAGGGUAAUUACAACAGAUUCAUCUAUAAAACAAAAAAUAAAUGUUUUCACGAAAAAGCCAUUUAAGCUCUGAUUGGUCAACUCUACUGUUCUGACACAUUUGGAAAACAUAUAUCAUUUAGGUUUUAAAAAUAAAUGCACAUGAACUUACUAAAAAACGUUUCCAAACAAAUUGCCGAAAGCAUUAUUCUGUCCAUUUUUGGCCAGAUGAAGGUGUAAAAGUGACUUGGCGAGCAGAGGAGGUGAUAUGUAAACGUUUAAAGGUCAAACUUUGGUUUGAACUGUAUUUGACUUUUUCUAUCUUUGCAGGAGGCCAUGUACACAACAAUGAUGAAAUGGAGCAAUGCUGUGAGUUUUUUUUUUUUUUUUUUCAGUAUCCAGGUGACAGAAGCUACUUCUGGAUCCAGUUUUCCUAAAGCCCUCCACUGAUUGUUUUGCAGCACGUUCCAAAGCUCGGGUCUCUGUCGGUGCGGCUGCUGUGUCUGGAGCUCUAUGAGACGUCCGUCCAACUCAUCAUUGCACUCAUGAAAAAAGUGACGGACAUCGCUCCUAUUGUCAGCUUCUUGCCGCUCGCCAACAGGCUCUGCAUUGAGAUGUCUGAACCCAGUGGUGUAACAACCGUGUUGGAGAAGAUCGCAGGUUCACGUGCAGAUUGGUGCAGAGUCCGGCGUGCUGAAUCCUGUGAGAGCCUCAGACAGCGUCUCCAGGACUGCAGUGGGAUCACGGUGGACCUUGAUCAGGACACCGAAGGCGUUGAUGUUUUAAAAAGUGGACCACUGCUGCAUCCAGCUAGACUCCCUGAGAAAACGCCACAGCUUGCUCCCCAAGGGCCUGCGCCUCGUCACCUACAUGUCCCAGCUCCAAAAGAACAAAACGCCUCGGCAACGCAGACUCCUCAAACGUCCAGCCAGAAAACAGCUGUGAUGGGAGGGAAUGAGAAGACGGAGCAGACUGCAGUGAAGACUUUAAGUGCUCCGUCUACAUCUGGUUUAGAAAAACAACCUGAUGCUCCUGGAAAGGGUCAAUCUGAAGUGGUCCUUCAGGACACGAUUGGGGCUUCUGGGAGGAGAAACGAAACGGCUCCUGGAAUAAAGGAACCGGCUGAACCUGUUAAAGCUGAGCCAGAGGAAGUCAAAGUUCAAUCAAAGGAGGUCAAAGAGACCAAAUCAGUAGAACUGGUGAAAAGAGAAGCACCAGAGAAUGUGGAGGUGAAAGGUUCUGCUGCAGUCUGUGAAGGUCUAACACCAACCACACCACCUGAACCUCCUACUGGUCCGCCUCAGAGACCACUGACCACCUUAAAACCCCAACAAACCUCAGUGAAAGCUUCUUCUGAGGUGCAGAAACCUGUGGAACCAAAUCCUGAGUCCACCACUCAAAAACUGGAGACCACAACAGCAGCUUCACGGGAGCAGCAGCAGAAAACUGGAAACUCGGGUAGUUUUAGUUUCAGGAUGGUUCUCAUUAGUUUAACUGUGUGA
ensembl:lncRNA